rnacentral:miRNA from 1 species
AAAGUUAAACAGACUCAUCCAC